GAUGAAGAACGUAGCGAAAUGCGAUAAGUAAUGUGAAUUGCAGAACUCAGUGAAUCAUCGAAUCUUUGAACGCACAUUGCGCCCGCCAGUAUUCUGGCGGGCAUGCCUGUUCGAGCGUCAUUUCAACCAUCAAGUCCCCGGCUUGUGUUGGGGACCUGCGGCUGCCGCAGGCCCUGAAAACCAGUGGCGGGCUCGCUAGUCACUCCGAGCGUAGUAAUACAUCUCGCUCAGGGCGUGCUGCGGGUUCCGGCCGUUAAAAAGCCUUAUUUACCCAAGGUUGACCUCGGAUCAGGUAGGAAGACCCGCUGAACUUAAGCAUAUCAAUAAGCGGAGGA
rnacentral:misc_RNA from 1 species